rnacentral:rRNA from 1 species
GAUGAACGCUGGCGGCGUGCCUAAUACAUGCAAGUCGAGCGAACGGACGAGAAGCUUGCUUCUCUGAUGUUAGCGGCGGACGGGUGAGUAACACGUGGAUAACCUACCUAUAAGACUGGGAUAACUUCGGGAAACCGGAGCUAAUACCGGAUAAUAUUUUGAACCGCAUGGUUCAAAAGUGAAAGACGGUCUUGCUGUCACUUAUAGAUGGAUCCGCGCUGCAUUAGCUAGUUGGUAAGGUAACGGCUUACCAAGGCAACGAUGCAUAGCCGACCUGAGAGGAUGAUCAGCCACGCUGGAACAGAGACAAGGACCAGACACCUAAGGGAGGCACCAUUAGGGAAUCGUCCACAAUGGGCGAGAGCCUGACGGAGCAACAGCGCGUGGGUGAUGAAGGUCUUCGGAUCGUAAAACUCUGUUAUUAGGGAAGAACAUAUGUGUAGGUAACUGUGCACAUCUUGACGGUACCUAAUCAGAAAGCCACGGCUAACUACGUG